rnacentral:rRNA from 1 species
CGGACGGGUGAGUAACACGUGAGCAACCUGCCUUUCAGAGGGGGAUAACGUUUGGAAACGAACGCUAAUACCGCAUAAAAUAUCGGAGUCGCAUGGCACUGAUAUCAAAGGAGCAAUCCGCUGAAAGAUGGGCUCGCGUCCGAUUAGGCAGUUGGCGGGGUAACGGCCCACCAAACCGACAAUCGGUAGCCGGACUGAGAGGUUGAACGGCCACAUUGGGACUGAGACACGGCCCAGACUCCUACGGGAGGCAGCAG